AGAGUUUGAUCCUGGCUUAGGAUGAACGCUAGCGACAGGCUAACACAUGCAAGUCGAGGGGCAGCAUAGAAGUAGCAAUACUUGGGUGGCGACCGGCGCACGGGUGAGUAACGCGUAUGCAACCUACCUAUCGAGAGGGGAAUAACCCGGCGAAAGUCGGACUAAUACCGCAGUAAAAACAGGGGGCACCGCAUGGUGAUAUUUGUUAAAGAAGUUCGCUGAUAGAUGGGCAUGCGUUCCAUUAGGGUAGUUGGUGAGGUAACGGCUCACCAAGCCGACGAUGGAUAGGGGAACUGAGAGGUUGGUCCCCCACACUGGUACUGAGACACGGACCAGACUCCUACGGGAGGCAGCAGUGAGGAAUAUUGGUCAAUGGGCGGGAGCCUGAACCAGCCAAGUCCGCGUGAAGGAAGAAGGAUCUAUGGUUCGUAAACUUCUUUUGCAGGGGAAUAAAGUGCAGGACGUGUCCUGUUUUGUAUGUACCCUGAGAAUAAGGAUCGGCUAACUCCGUGCCAGCCGCCGC
rnacentral:rRNA from 1 species